rnacentral:rRNA from 1 species
ACAUGGCAGGAUAAGCAUGCUACCGGAGAGUUCACGGUCCUUCAAACACCCUACAACCGUGUUCAUGCUCGUGACAAGGAUUUCAUUGGUGACACUGAGAAGAAUGCGAUUGAUAUUGAGGUUGAUCCAGAAACACAAUAUGAUUCAGAUUGUCUUCCUGACGACACCAAUAAUGAAAGCUCGUCUUCGAAGCUUCCUAGAGGUGGCAAACGCGCUAAAGGUAUGAGGCUGAAGUGUGAUGAGAGUGUAGUUCGACACAAGAUGUGGUCUAUGCGUGAUAUGUUGGAUACUAUCCGUUUCACACGCGUGACCAACCCGAAUGAGAAUUCAUUUAGAAUAAUUGAUGACAUGGAAGAAUACCCUCUCUUCGCCCGACUUGUACUACAAACAUCUUUGGCCACCAAUGAACAAGUGGCGUCCAUGUUGAUGGGCUGGCCGAUGGCUGCUAUUCAACAGUUUGUGCGGCGUUGGGUCGAUGAUAACUUCCCUGAACAUGUUCAUGUAUCUCCGGACAUGUGA